rnacentral:rRNA from 1 species
AACGAACGCUGGCGGCAGGCUUAACACAUGCAAGUCGAGCGCCCCGCAAGGGGAGCGGCAGACGGGUGAGUAACGCGUGGGGAUCUACCCAUCUCUACGGAAUAACGCAUGGAAACGUGUGCUAAUACCGUAUACGUCCUUCGGGAGAAGGAUUUAUCGGAGAUGGAUGAGCCCGCGUUGGAUUAGCUAGUUGGUGGGGUAAAGGCCUACCAAGGCGACGAUCCAUAGCUGGUCUGAGAGGAUGAUCAGCCACACUGGGACUGAGACACGGCCCAGACUCCUACGGGAGGCAGCAGUGGGGAAUAUUGGACAAUGGGCGCAAGCCUGAUCCAGCCAUGCCGCGUGAGUGAUGAAGGCCCUAGGGUUGUAAAGCUCUUUCACCGGUGAAGAUAAUGACGGUAACCGGAGAAGAAGCCCCGGCUAACUUCGUGCCAGCAGCCGCAGUAACAC